UUAAUAUUCAAGAAAAAUUAAGUCCAUCAUACACAUUAAAAAUAUAGGAAAUUUCAUGCAGACAUGAAGCUUCCAAUUCAGCCUUUGUGGCAACUUUUAGAAUGAGUUACAUAUAAAUACAGUACAUUUUACAAUUCCCAAACUUAAUUUUAUACUGUGAUUUAUACAGCUUCUCUUUAUAUUUUACAUAUCUCAUCUUGCUCACUUGAUUAACAUACCCUAGCCUGUACUGCUUCCGAUUAUGGAAAUAAAAAAAGAAAAGCAAGCAGAAUGACCUAUCUCCUCCCACUUUAUGAAAAAAAUGAAAAAUCUGUGUAUAGUUAUUUAAGAAAAAUGUUUUAAACUUUAAGGCUUACACACUUUAGUAGCUAUUUCUACACAUAAUACAAAAUUAAAUCCUCCAGUGACACCUCUAUUAUUGAUUGAUACCACAAUUUUCAAGUUUAGAAUAUAUUAACUAUAAAAGCUAUAAGAGAAAAAAAGGGAUGCAAAUUUGUGUAGUAUAUUUUAAAAACAGCAUUCAUAAUAUGGAGGAGAAGUCAAGAAACAAAUGAAAUAACUGAUUUCAUAAUUAACUAAAAGCUGUAAUUUAGAAGUACAAAUAACAUUAUUAAAGGAUAAAACCUGAUAGCAAAAAUUUUAAGAAAUGCCAACCCA
rnacentral:lncRNA from 1 species